CCUACGGGAGGCAGCAGUGGGGAAUUUUGGACAAUGGGCGAAAGCCUGAUCCAGCAAUGCCGCGUGCAGGAUGAAGGCCUUCGGGUUGUAAACUGCUUUUGUACGGAACGAAACGGUCUUUUCUAAUACAGAAGGCUAAUGACGGUACCGUAAGAAUAAGCACCGGCUAACUACGUGCCAGCAGCCGCGGUAAUACGUAGGGUGCAAGCGUUAAUCGGAAUUACUGGGCGUAAAGCGUGCGCAGGCGGUUAUGUAAGACAGUUGUGAAAUCCCCGGGCUCAACCUGGGAAUUGCAUCUGUGACUGCAUAGCUAGAGUACGGUAGAGGGGGGAUGGAAUUCCGCGUGUAGCAGUGAAAUGCGUAGAUAUGCGGAGGAACACCGAUGGCGAAGGCAAUCCCCUGGACCUGUACUGACGCUCAUGCACGAAAGCGUGGGGAGCAAACAGGAUUAGAUACCCUGGUAGUCCACGCCCUAAACGAUGUCAACUGGUUGUUGGGUCUUCACUGACUCAGUAACGAAGCUAACGCGUGAAGUUGACCGCCUGGGGAGUACGGCCGCAAGGUUGAAACGUCAAAGGAAUUGACGG
rnacentral:rRNA from 1 species